CUGAAAAUAUCUUAUUAUGUUUUCUUCUAUCCACUAUUCAUUCUACUUCGAAGUAUGUAACGGGGACCUUAAGUCUAUGUUUCAGAAAAAUAUUGACUAAACGUAUCCAUGCACAUUAUUUUGAGAACAUGGCAUACUAUAAGAUAUCACAUGUUGAUGGUCGGAUUACUAACCCUGAACAACGAAUUGCAAGUGAUGUACCAAGAUUCUGUUCAGAGUUGAGUGAACUGGUACAGGAUGACUUGACAGCAGUUACUGAUGGUCUUCUCUA
rnacentral:misc_RNA from 1 species